rnacentral:rRNA from 1 species
UACGAAGGGUGCAACCGUUGCUCGGAAUUAUUGGGCGUAAAGCGCACGUAGGCGGCUUAGCAAGUCGGAUGUGAAAUCCCUCGGCUCAACCAAGGAAGUGCAUCCGAAACUGCUGAGCUUGAGUACGAAAGAGGAUCGCGGAAUUCCCAGUGUAGAGGUGAAAUUCGUAGAUAUUGGGAAGAACACCAGUGGCGAAGGCGGCUAACUGGUCCAGAUCUGACGCUGAGGUGCGAAAGCGUGGGGAGCAAACAGG